GACGAACGCUGGCGGCGUGCUUAACACAUGCAAGUCGAACGCUGAAGACCUGGCUUUUGUUGGGUUGGAUGAGUGGCGAACGGGUGAGUAACACGUGAGUAACCUGCCCCCUUCUUUGGGAUAACGCCCGGAAACGGGUGCUAAUACUGGAUAUUCACUGGCCUUCGCAUGGGGGUUGGUGGAAAGGUUUGUUCUGGUGGGGGAUGGGCUCGCGGCCUAUCAGCUUGUUGGUGGGGUGAUGGCCUACCAAGGCUUUGACGGGUAGCCGGCCUGAGAGGGUGACCGGUCACAUUGGGACUGAGAUACGGCCCAGACUCCUACGGGAGGCAGCAGUGGGGAAUAUUGCACAAUGGGCGGAAGCCUGAUGCAGCGACGCCGCGUGAGGGAUGGAGGCCUUCGGGUUGUAAACCUCUUUCGCUCAUGGUCAAGCCGCAACUGUGGGUUGUGGUGAGGGUAGUGGGUAAAGAAGCGCCGGCUAACUACGUGCCAGCAGCCGCGGUAAUACGUAGGGCGCGAGCGUUGUCCGGAAUUAUUGGGCGUAAAGGGCUUGUAGGCGGUUGGUCGCGUCUGCCGUGAAAUCCUCUGGCUUAACUGGGGGCGUGCGGUGGGUACGGGCUGACUUGAGUGCGGUAGGGGAGACUGGAACUCCUGGUGUAGCGGUGGAAUGCGCAGAUAUCAGGAAGAACACCGGUGGCGAAGGCGGGUCUCUGGGCCGUUACUGACGCUGAGGAGCGAAAGCGUGGGGGAGCGAACAGG
rnacentral:rRNA from 1 species